rnacentral:rRNA from 1 species
UACGUAGGGGGCAAGCGUUGUCCGGAUUUACUGGGCGUAAAGGGCUCGUAGGCGGCCAACUAAGUCAGACGUGAAAUCCCUCGGCUUAACCGGGGAACUGCGUCUGAUACUGGAUGGCUUGAGUUUGGGAGAGGGAUGCGGAAUUCCAGGUGUAGCGGUGAAAUGCGCAGAUAUCAGGAGGAACACCGAUGGCGAAGGCAGGUCUCUGGGCAUUAACUGACGCUGAGGAGCGAAAGCAUGGGGAGCGAACAGG